UCUUGUCCAACGACAAAACGCUCUGCUUACACUGAAAUGGGGACCUUUUAAAUUUCACUUAACCGUUUGACGAUGGGGUUUUUCUCAAUUCCUUCAAUCGGAAAGGUCCCUCCAGACAGACACGCUAUCGUCGGGGAAAACUAAUCCAGCCUAUAAGUUCACCUCAGAACACUAUAUCUGAAUUGCUGGAGACAAGCUGCCACGCAACCAAGGCGCCAUAUAAAAUAGUGGUCUAAAAGGCACGUUGCGUGGCAAUAAAUCACGACGUUGACUGGAUCGGGAAGGAAAACGCGAUUCGCAACAGAAAAUGCAAAGUAAAAUAUAUAGUCCUUCACAUAACGAAAAUCACUUCAUAUUGGCAAUUUCACGCCGCCAUUGACAACCACAAAUAUUCAAUUUCCUAAAACAAAAUCGAUAGUGUCGCGGCGGCGAAAAUAACCUUGUUUUCCGUCAUUUUAUUUGCCGGAAAACCCAUGCCGAUCUUUUCCAAACUCUGGAAGCUUUUCUGUUAAGGUUUCUCUUCACGACGUCGUUCUGAAUUAACUUCCACUCCUCGCGUGCCAGUAAAUAAGAGAAAGCUCCCAUCCAAAAUAUAAAGUCCGUGUGCAAACGGGUCGGCUUCUUUUUCCUAAAAUUGUUGCGAAAAUUUGAGGUAACUAGUUUCGAUUAAGGCAUCAUGUUGUUUUCAUUAGUCUUGGUUAGUCUUACUUUAAUGAAAUAUUUUCUAAAUCGCGCUAUAAUUUAUUUAAUUUUUGUAAUCCCUUCUGAUAGUUGGGAUAGUUAAUAACAUUUUUCUGUUAUAAUUGAUAGUAAUGUUCUAUUGAUAUAAGUGUAUUUGCAAAUGUUACAAUUAAAUGUAUGUAUAUAUUUGUAACAAAUGUAUUUUAUUAUAUUUUUAUAUUCAACUACUUUCUGAUAAUUUGUUUCAUCUCUACUACUAAUCAAAUCUUCACUGUUGGAAGAAAGCUUGAGUUUCCAAUAAAAAAUCGUUGAUUUAGAGCUUUAACAAUUUUUUCCUCCUCUCUCAGCUUUGUGUGAUUUAGAGUUUUAUUAUUCAUCAUUUUUGUUGAUUACCGGGUAUCCCAUUUAUUAUCUACAGUAUAUUUCACAAGUUUUUUUCUUUUUGUAUUUACAUCUCCAAGUAAAACCACAACAAUUAGAUUUUAGAAACUCUUUUAAGAUAUCAUCUUUACCUUACGAGCACGUAUUUGCAAAACUUAAGUCGUAAGAAUAAUGAUACCGGGCAUCAAAUUUUAUUCGCCAAAAUCCAAAAUUUUUGAGUGUAAUCAAUUAUUCUACAAAAAAAAUAGAGAAUCCAUAGAAUUCUCUAAACAACCAAGCAAUCUUAACUGGGACUUAGGUCUUGACCUUUCACCAAUAUGGAAAUCAGUAAUCCGAGACAAUGCUCAUGUCUCUAGUUUACCUCCGGUCCCCUCAAACAUUAUGUAAGCGGGCACAGAGUAGGACGCAAGUCAGUUUCAGUUAAUCUCUGAAGAAGUCAAGAUUAUAAGUUUCAAGCAAAAAAAAAAUUGAUAUCUGACUCUAACCAAUGUCAAUUUGGAAGAACCUUCAACUGCAAGUCGUGCUCAUGAAUAAAGCUUCAUUAAAUACUUUAAACUCGGUUCUUAUUGUUGAUGUUGAUUUCAGAUUGGGAAAAAUUGUUACUGUUAGGUACCUUACAAUUUAGAGUAAUUCUUUUUUAAUUUUUUUUGUAAACCUCUUUGAGUUAGUAUAAUUCCUAAAGUCCUCAGAUCUUCCGAUCGAUUUUGCAAACACAUUUUCGCUUCCUGUCCUUGAAGGUGCCAUCGAAGAAGCGUACGUCUCUUUGAUGGAGUAGAUAAUAAAUUGUGCUCUUAUACUCUUCGUAGGCCGUCCCCUAGUAGUGCGCAGCAGCAUACGUUAAUAUUCCAACGUACCGAGCCAAUCAGAAGUAUAGCCCGGCAAUUUUAAACGGUUAUAUUUUUUGUGAUUAAUUAUUGAUAUUUAUUUUUUUUAUUUUAAAAUGGAGCUUGAAAGGUAAGUUUAAUGCUUUAAUUUGAUAUUUGUAGGUUAUGUUAUGAUGUCUUGAAAUAGUAUAAUUUUUAAUUUUUUAGAAAUAACUUGACUUGCCAAUUUUGUGAGAUGGAAUUUUCAAGUACAUCGACCAAAAACCGAAAUAUACGGACAAAACACUCUGGCCAAGAGGGAUCUGGAUCUGAAAGAAUGCACCAUAUUUUAUGCCCAAUAUGCACAGACAGGAAUUUUUUUUUUUUACUUCAUUCAUUUACUUAAUUGAGCAUUUAAAUUCUUUUCAUAGCUUAGCUAUUAAUGAAUCUAUUUUGCAUUUUAGGAAUUUUGAAGAGUUUUCAGCUUGGAGGACCCAAGAGAAUAGGGAAGUAAAUUAUGCUUGCCGUACACGAAAAAAAUAUCAACACGGUGAAGAAAAAAUAUUUUAUGAAUGUAACAGAAGCAAUUACAAAAGUUAUGUGUUUACUAAUAUGUGAGUAGGCAUAUAAUGUCUCAUAUUUUUUAAGGAUUUGUCAGCUCAGCUAAAAAACGAAGUGUGAAAACUGGAGGGAGUAUUCAUAUUCAUGGGACAUGUGCUUCAAGAAUUGUAGUUAACAUUUCAACUGAGGGAUUUGUGACGGUAAAGUUUGUCGAACAACAUUUAGGACACACUGAGGAACUAAGGACCAAGAGAUUAUCACACAAGCUGAACAGGAGACUAUCGUCGAAAAAAAAGUGCAGAUGAUGUUAUCCAUUUUAUUCAGGAAACGAAGCCCGAUCUCCAUGCAGACACUAUUGCAUUUGAAGAUAGGCGACAGGUCAUUUUGCAAGAAAUGAAUAGCUUUGCUCGCAGUUUGGAAAUUUGUAGAUAUUUUCAGGACAUUUAAGAGGGACACAGAACAACGAAAUUCCGAGGAAAAUUCGAAAAAAAAAUUGAGAAGCAAACAUAUUAUCCUAAAAAAAGUAAUAUAACUAUUUAUAAACCUUUCAUUUUCAAGUGAUAUUUUAUUUUAUAGAUAAUUGCAUACUUUAAUCAGUUUUUUAUUUAUUGCAUAGUUUUUAAUUAAUAAAUAAUAAUUGUAUGAUAUGAGAUGUAAAUAAAUUUUA